ensembl:lncRNA
GGACGGAGGAGCCUGGCGGACUACAUACCAUCCAUGGCGUUGCAAAAAGUCGGACGCGACUGAGCAACUAAUACUUGGUUUUCAUCACUUUGUCGAAAAUCUUAUUCGCCUGGAAGAGAGAAAUCCUCCGUGGUGGCUUUCCCUGGGUUUCCACCAUAUCCGUGAGGGGAGCUUGCGAGAUGGUGCAGUCACCGACGACCCCAGGGACUGACAAAGCAGCAUUUGUUUGCAACGUGUCACUGCAAGUUGGCCCGAAGCCCCUGAUGCUGUAGCCACAUGGGGACCAAGGGGGAUUCUUUACCAGCUGAGCCACAUGGGAAGCCCAAGAAUCCUGGAAUGGGUUGCCAUUUCGUCCUCCAGCGGAUCUUCCUGACCCAGGGACUGAACCCACGUCUCCUGCCUUGGCAGGCAGACUCUCUACCUUCUGAGCCACCAGGGAAGGCCCACAGGAGGGUACCAUGCAGUCUGCUGGAUGAAUGAACAUAUUCCCGGUCCCAUGUCUGUCCUUUGUCUGAACCAAACUGUCUGGGGAGUGGUUGCUGGGAACCUGUAGACACAUGAGCCCUUUGUGACCCUUCUGAGGUGACCUUGCCAUCUGACAGGCCCUCAAACAGGGUCUCAUGUGCCACAGUAAGUCUAAUCAACUGUAGGAGCUAUUCCUCAGAAUUAUCCAUUCUAGGUCCCGGGCAAAGAUUGUUGGGGCUAUUUAUGCCUCGUUCAACAAAAUGACUCAAUGGAAAAAGUGACCGAGUGUUUUCAACUUAGCUCCAUCUUCCUUGCUCGGUUGCUACAACCAUAUCGAAAUUCUGUGUCUAAAAUGUUCUGGCGGUUACUAAGACCAGGACUGUGACUAAAGUGAACUCUGAUGGUCCAUGUUCUCUUUAUGUUACUCCUCAUCUCUCUUGGUCAUAUUAACCUCGUUACUUUCAGAAAAAAAAAACAACACACACAAUGAAAGAAACACAAAACAAUCAAGCAACAAUAAACAAUUUUUUGUUGGCAUUUUUUUUUUAAGAACGAAAAUUCUGCUCCACUAUCCAUGAUAACACCAGGCUUAGGAGAGGGGGAAAAUGAAUUAGGCAUGACAAUUUUUUUUUUCUCUUGCAUGACUCUUUUGAUCAUAUUUUUUUAGUAGUAUUGGUUCAAAGGGAAAUCAUAGUGCUUGCAUGUUGAACAGCACCUAGCAUAAAUUAAAUUGGCCUGGAGUUGUUAAAAGUAUUUAGAGACUCUGCUAUAACAUGAC